CAUGCAUGUCUAAGCACAUGCCUUAAUACGGUGAAGCCGCGAAUAGCUCAUUACAACAGCCAUCGUUUACUAGAAAAUAUUUAUCCUACUUGGAUAACUGUGGCAAUUCUAGAGCUAAUACAUGCAAAAAAGCUCAGACUGAAAGGAAUGAGCGCAUUUAUUAGAAUAAAAACCAAUCGGGUCUAAAAGCCCGCUGUUUGGUGAAUCUGAAUAACUUUGCUGAUCGCACGGUCUAGUACCGGCGACGUAUCUUUCAAGUGUCUGCCUUAUCAACUUUCGAUGGUAGGUUAUACGCCUACCAUGGUAGUAACGGGUAACGGAGAAUAAGGGUUCGACUCCGGAGAGGGAGCCUGAGAAACGGCUACCACAUCCAAGGAAGGCAGCAGGCGCGCAAAUUACCCACUUCCAGAACGGAGAGGUAGUGACGAAAAAUAACGAGACAGUCCUCUCUGAGGUCUGUCAUCGGAAUGGGUACAAUUUAAAUCCUUUAACGAGGAUCUAUUGGAGGGCAAGUCUGGUGCCAGCAGCCGCGGUAAUUCCAGCUCCAAUAGCGUAUAUUAAAGUUGUUGCGGUUAAAACGCUCGUAGUUGAAUCUGCGGCCUGGGAGAACGGACCCCCGAAAGGGUGGUAACUGUUACUCCUAGCCUAAAUUUUUAGUCUACUCUAUGGUGCCUUUAACCGGGUGCUUAGAGUGACUGGAACGUUUACUUUGAAAAAAUUAGAGUGCUUAAAGCAGGCGAAUUUGCCUGAAUAAGGUGCAUGGAAUAAUGGAAUAGGACCUCGGUUCUAUUUUGUUGGUUUUCGGAGCCUGAGGUAAUGAU
rnacentral:rRNA from 1 species